GUGGGGAAUAUUGCGCAAUGGGNNNAACCCUGANGCAGCGACGCCGCGUGUAGGAAGAAGGCCUUCGGGUCGUAAACUACUGUCAAGAGGGAAGAAACUGUUAGGCAUUAAUACGGCCUUUCACUGACGGUACCUCUAGAGGAAGCACCGGCUAACUCCGUGCCAGCAGCCGCGGUAAUACGGAGGGUGCGAGCGUUAAUCGGAAUCACUGGGCGUAAAGCGUGCGUAGGCGGCGCAACAAGUCAGGCGUGAAAGCCCUCGGCUCAACCGAGGAAUUGCGCUUGAAACUGUUGUGCUAGAGUCUCGGAGAGGUUGGCGGAAUUNCAGGUGUAGGAGUGAAAUCCGUAGAUAUCUGGAGGAACACCGGUGGCGAAGGCGGCCAACUGGACGAGUACUGACGCUGAGGUACGAAAGCGUGGGGAGCAAACAGGAUUAGAUACCCUGGUAGUCNACGCUGUAAACGAUGGAUAUUAGGUGUCGGGU
rnacentral:rRNA from 1 species